AACGAACGCUGGCGGCAUGCCUAACACAUGCAAGUCGAACGAGACCUUCAGGUCUAGUUGCGCACGGGUGCGUAACGCGUGGGAACCUGCCCUUAGGUUCGGAAUAACUCCCCGAAAGGGGUGCUAAUACCGGAUAAUGUCUUCGGACCAAAGAUUUAUCGCCUUUGGAUGGGCCCGCGUUGGAUUAGCUAGUUGGUAGGGUAAAAGCCUACCAAGGCGACGAUCCAUAGCUGGUCUGAGAGGAUGAUCAGCCACACUGGGACUGAGACACGGCCCAGACUCCUACGGGAGGGAGCAGUGGGGAAUAUUGGACACUGGGCGAAAGCCUGAUCAAGCAAUGCCGCGUGAGUGAUGAAGGCCUUAGGGUUGUAAAGCUCUUUUACCCGGGAUGAUAAUGACAGUACCGGGAGAAUAAGCUCCGGCUAACUACGUG
rnacentral:rRNA from 1 species